rnacentral:rRNA from 1 species
AUUGAACGCUGGCGGCAUGCUUUACACAUGCAAGUCGAACGGUAACAGGCCGCAAGGUGCUGACGAGUGGCGAACGGGUGAGUAAUGCAUCGGAACGUGCCCAGUCGUGGGGGAUAACGCAGCGAAAGCUGUGCUAAUACCGCAUACGAUCUAUGGAUGAAAGCGGGGGACCGUAAGGCCUCGCGCGAUUGGAGCGGCCGAUGUCAGAUUAGGUAGUUGGUGGGGUAAAGGCUCACCAAGCCAACGAUCUGUAGCUGGUCUGAGAGGACGACCAGCCACACUGGGACUGAGACACGGUCCAGACUCCUACGGGAGGCAGCAGUGGGGAAUUUUGGACAAUGGGCGCAAGCCUGAUCCAGCAAUGCCGCGUGCAGGAAGAAGGCCUUCGGGUUGUAAACUGCUUUUGUACGGAACGAAACGGUCUGGGUUAAUACCCUGGGCUAAUGACGGUACCGUAAGAAUAAGCACCGGCUAACUACGUGCCAGCCGCCGCGGUAAAAC